rnacentral:misc_RNA from 1 species
GAUGAAGAACGCAGCGAAAUGCGAUAAGUAGUGUGAAUUGCAGAAUUCAGUGAAUCAUCGAAUCUUUGAACGCACAUUGCGCCCCUUGGUAUUCCAUGGGGCAUGCCUGUUCGAGCGUCAUUUGUACCUUCAAGCUUUGCUUGGUGUUGGGUGUUUGUCUCGCCUUUGCGAGUAGACUCGCCUUAAAAUAAUUGGCAGCCGGCGUAUUGAUUUCGGAGCGCAGUACAUCUCGCGCUUUGCACUCAUAACGACAGCGUCCAAAAGUACAUUUUACACUCUUGACCUCGGAUCAGGUAGGGAUACCCGCUGAACUUAAGCAUAUCAAUAAGCGGAGGA